UCAAGUUAUUAAGGGUGCAGGGCGGAUGCCUUGGCACUAGGAGCCGAUGAAGGACGUGAUAAGCUGCGAUAAGCUUCGGGGAGUUGCACGUAAACUUUGAUCCGAAGAUUUCCGAAUGAGGAAACUCACUUAGAGUAAUGUCUAAGUAUCAUUAAGUGAAUACAUAGCUUAAUGAGGGGAACUCAGGGAACUGAAACAUCUAAGUACCUGAAGGAAGAGAAAGAAAUUCGAUUCCGUAAGUAGCGGCGAGCGAACGCGGAUUAGCCCAAACCAAUAAAGUUUUCUUUAUUGGGGUUGCGGACAUAUCAUAACGAAGAGGUAUCGUAAUUGAAGAGGUUUGGAAAGACCCACCACAGAAGGUAAUAGUCCUGUAUGUUAAACGAGAAGACUUUAGAUAUGAUCCAGAGUACCACGGGACACGUGAAACCCUGUGGGAAGCAGGAGGGACCACCCUCCAAGGCUAAAUACUACCUAGUGACCGAUAGCGUAUAGUACCGUGAGGGAAAGGUGAAAAGAACCCCGGGAGGGGAGUGAAAUAGAACCUGAAACCCUGCACUUACAAGCUGUGGAAGCACAUUUCUUGUGUGACCGCGUACUUUUUGUAGAACGGGCCAACGAGUUACGUUAAGUAGCAAGGUUAAGCACUUAAGGUGCGGAGCCGUAGCGAAAGCGAGUUUUAACUGAGCGUUCAGUUACUUGACGUAGACCCGAAACCGGGCGACCUACCCAUGAGCAGGAUGAAGCGAAAGUAAAAUUUCGUGGAGGUCCGAACCCACGAGCGUUGAAAAGCUCGGGGAUGACUUGUGGGUAGCGGUGAAAUUCCAAUCGAGCCCGGAGAUAGCUGGUUCUCCCCGAAAUAGCUUUAGGGCUAGCCUCAAGGUGAGAGAUACGGAGGUAGAGCACUGAAUGUCCUAGGGGGUAUUGCACCUACCGAAGACUAUCAAACUCCGAAUGCCGUCAUCUUAUACUUGGGAGUCAGACUGUGGGUGAUAAGAUUCAUAGUCGAAAGGGCAACAGCCCAGAUCGUCAGCUAAGGUCCCUAAAUGUAAGUUAAGUGGUAAAGGAUGUGGGAUUGCACAGACAACCAGGAUGUUGGCUUAGAAGCAGCCACUCAUUCAAAAGAGUGCGUAAUAGCUCACUGGUCGAGUGAUCCUGCGCCGAAGAUUUCGGGGGCUAAAACUUACUUACCGAAGCUACGGCAUCAGUAAUGAUGGGUAGGGGAGCUUCCAAUACGGGUGAAAGCAUGACCGUAAGGACAUGUGGACAGUAUGGGAGUGAGAAUGUUGGCAUGAGUAGCGAGAUGUGGGUGAGAAUCCCACAGGCCGUAAACCCAAGGUUUCCAGGGGAAGGUUCGUCCGCCCUGGGUUAGUCGGGACCUAAGCUGAGGCCGAAAGGCGUAGGUGAUGGACAACAGGUUGAUAUUCCUGUACUACCGAUAACCGUUUGAGAGAAGGGAUGACACAGUAGGAUAAGCUAAGCACACUGUUGGUUAUGUGUGCCCAAGCAUUGAGGCAGUCAAAGUAGGCAAAUCCGCUUUGAUAAUGCUGGGAUGUGAUGGGGAGCGAAAUUUAGUAGCGAAGUAGCUGAUUUCACACUGUCAAGAAAAGUCUCUAUCGAGGUUAAAGGUACCCGUACCGCAAACCGACACAGGUGGGUGAGGAGAGUAUCCUAAGGCCAGCGAGAGAACUGUUGUUAAGGAACUCGGCAAAAUGACCCCGUAACUUAGGGAUAAGGGGUGCCACCAUCAGGUGGCCGCAGAGAAUAGGCCCAAGCGACUGUUUACCAAAAACAUAGGUUUCUGCUAAGUCGCAAGACGAUGUAUAGGAGCUGACGCCUGCCCGGUGCUGGAAGGUUAAGGGGAUCUGUUAGAGCAAUCGAAGCAGUGAACUUAAGCCCCAGUAAACGGCGGCCGUAACUAUAACGGUCCUAAGGUAGCGAAAUUCCUUGUCGGGUAAGUUCCGACCCGCACGAAAGGCGUAACGAUUUGGGCACUGUCUCAACAACAGACUCGGUGAAAUUGUAAUUCCGGUGAAGAUGCCGGAUACCUGCGACAGGACGGAAAGACCCCAUGGAGCUUUACUGUAGCUUGACAUUGGGUCUUGGUACUACAUGUACAGGAUAGGUGGGAGGCUUUGAAACCAGGACGCCAGUUUUGGCGGAGCCAUCCUUGGGAUACCACCCUUGUAGUACUGGGACUCUAACCAUAGGCCAUGAAUCUGGUCUUGGGACACUGUCAGGUGGGCAGUUUGACUGGGGCGGUCGCCUCCCAAAAGGUAACGGAGGCGCUCAAAGGUUCUCUCAGUACGGUCGGAUAUCGUACGUAGAGUGUAAAGGCAAAAGAGAGCUUGAUUGCAAGACAUACAGGUCGAGCAAGGAUGAAAAUCGGACUUAGUGAUCCGGUGGUUCUGCGUGGAAGGGCCAUCGCUCAACGGAUAAAAGCUACCCUGGGGAUAACAGGCUUAUCUCCCCCAAGAGUCCACAUCGACGGGGAGGUUUGGCACCUCGAUGUCGGCUCAUCACAUCCUGGGGCUGUAGUAGGUCCCAAGGGUUGGGCUGUUCGCCCAUUAAAGUGGUACGCGAGCUGGGUUCAGAACGUCGUGAGACAGUUCGGUCCCUAUCCGUCGCAGGCGUAGGAAAUUUGAGAAGACCUGUCCUUAGUACGAGAGGACCGGGAUGGACGUACCUCUGGUGUACCAGUUGUUCUGCCAAGGGCAUGGCUGGGUAGCUAUGUACGGAAUGGAUAAGCGCUGAAAGCAUCUAAGCGCGAAGCCAACUUCAAGAUAAGAUUUCCCACCGCAAGGGUAAGACCCCAGAAAGACUAUCUGGUUGAUAGGUCGAAGGUGUAAGUGCAGCAAUGUAUUUAGCUUAUCGAUACUAAUAGGUCGAGGACUUGACCAA
rnacentral:rRNA from 1 species